GUUUCAGCCGCCGCGGUAAAACGUAGGUACCGAGCGUUAUCCGGAUUUACUGGGCGUAAAGCGCGUUCAGGCGGCUUAGCAAGUCGGGCAUGAAAUCUCUCGGCUCAACCGGGAGGGGCUGUCCGAUACUGCUGGGCUUGAGGGCAGUAGAGGGUGGUGGAAUUCCGGGUGUAGUGGUGAAAUGCGUAGAGAUCCGGAGGAACACCAGUGGCGAAGGCGGCCACCUGGACUGCCCCUGACGCUGAAACGCGAAAGCUAGGGGAGCGAACGGGAUUAGAUACCCCGGUAGUCC
rnacentral:rRNA from 1 species